rnacentral:lncRNA from 1 species
CCGCGCCUCCGCCUUCCCCGCCCCCCUCACCGUGUGUGUACAACAGCUGAGGCCCGGCGAGCUAAUGCUGGACGUCCUGGGCUGGGGGGUGGAAAUUAAACAGACGAUGACCUUUCCUUUCCCCGCCCGGUUUUCCCAAGUAAAAACGCAUUUAAAAACCACAAGCGUCAUUUCCGAUCUCGCUCCCCACCCCACCCCAAGCAGUACAUUUAAAUGUCCAGUUUCAAGAUUUUCGUUGCGAAUUUCAUAGAGGGAAUUACUCAUUUCGUCUGUAAUCAAACCUCCUCCCUCCCUGCCCCCCGCCCCCCGGUAUGGAUGUUGCAUUCCUUGCUACCACUGAUGCCAGAGCACCUGCAAAAUUAGCUGUUUUCCAUUUGCCCAGAAACUGCCUUUUCGAUUUGUUUUUGUGCUCUGGUCUAGGAACCUGAGUUUCAACGACAGAGCUAAAUGAAUUCAGGGUGAGCUACUCCUCCCCCCAGUCGCACUCUAAAAAUUUUGGCUGCAUGUCUAAAGAAGCUACGAGCACCCGGAGGCCUUUAAGGAAAAACAGUCUACUGGCUGCGCACAGCUGCAGUUGGGGGCAGGGAGGGAGAAGGUGCUGGAGAGGCCAAACAGGUUGUGCCAGUGGGUUCUUACACAUACAGAAGUUUUGGAUCUGUCACUGCCACAGACUAAAACAAAUACAGCGUGGGGUGUGUGGAGCAUACUGUCAGGCCCACAGGAAGAGGACAGUAAGUGUUGGUUAUUAUAAGUAUUGAUAUUAACGUUGGUACUGUUGCUAGUUAAGGUGUGAAACUCCCUUGUAAAUUGCAUAAAAUGUAAAUUGCAUAAAAUGUAAGGAUCGGCACUCUCAUCACUAUUACCUACUAAUUGUAAUAAAGUUCAGUUGAAAAAACA